GACGAACGCUGGCGGCGUGCCUAGUACAUGCAAGUCGAACGCUUCUUUUUCCACCGGAGCUUGCUCCACCGGAAAAAGAGGAGUGGCGAACGGGUGAGUAACACGUGGGUAACCUGCCCAUCAGAAGGGGAUAACACUUGGAAACAGGUGCUAAUACCGUAUAACAAUCGAAACCGCAUGGUUUUGAUUUGAAAGGCGCUUUCGGGUGUCGCUGAUGGUUGGACCCGCGGUGCAUUAGCUAGUUGGUGAGGUAACGGCUCACCAAGGCCACGAUGCAUAGCCGACCUGAGAGGGUGAUCGGCCACAUUGGGACUGAGACACGGCCCAAACUCCUACGGGAGGCAGCAGUAGGGAAUCUUCGGCAAUGGACGAAAGUCUGACCGAGCAACGCCGCGUGAGUGAAGAAGGUUUUCGGAUCGUAAAACUCUGUUGUUAGAGAAGAACAAGGAUGAGAGUAACUGUUCAUCCCUUGACGGUAUCUAACCAGAGAGCCACGGCUAACUACGUGCCAGCCGCCGCCGUAA
rnacentral:rRNA from 1 species